rnacentral:rRNA from 1 species
CUGGGGAUCUGCCCGAUAGAGGGGGAUAACCACUGGAAACGGUGGCUAAUACCGCAUAACGUCGCAAGACCAAAGAGGGGGACCUUCGGGCCUCUCACUAUCGGAUGAACCCAUAUGGGAUUAGCUAGUAGGCGGGGUAAUGGCCCACCUACGCGACGAUCCCUAUCUGGUCUGAGAGGAUGACCACCCACACUGGAACUGACACACGGUCCACACUCCUACGGGAGGCAGCAGUGGGGAAUAUUGCACAAUGGGCGCAAGCCUGAUGCACCCAUGCCGCGUGUAUGAAAAAGGCCUUCGGGUUGUAAAGUACUUUCAGCGGGGAAGAAGGCGGUGCGGUUAAUAACCGCGUCUAUUGACGUUACCCGCAAAAGAAGCACCGGCUAACUCCGUGCCAGCACCCGCGGUAAUACAGAGGGUGCAAGCGUUAAUC